UUCGGCGCCUGUUCUGCAUUGGGAUGCCCCGAAGCCCCCCGAGGGAUAAUACAGGCUCUCUCAUCCAACUCCUACACCGACGCGUCCUCGUCGUUCCAGGCUUGGGUACACGGGCUUGACCCAACCCCUUGGGCGGAUGGUGGCAUAUGGCAAACCAGAAGGAU
rnacentral:ribozyme from 1 species